GGGGUCAGAGGGAAGAAAACAAGAUGGAGGAUGAGAGGCGGAGCAAAAACUAAACCACUGACCGUCCCUCAUGAUAAAAAUCAUUCUGCAACCUUUUAGCUUUUCCAGAUUUGGUCAGUUUACAACCACAGACUUCAGUGUUUUAUUGAAUUUCAUGAGAUGGAGCAACACAAAGAAGCAGAUAACUGAAGUGAAAAGUAAAAGUUUGUUGUUUUUUUUAAAUUAAAACAUUAAAUCAUGCAUAAUUUUCCUUCAACUUCAGGUACAAACUGCAACAUGUUGAUCCAUCACAUCACAAAAACAGGAUUCUUUUGUAAAAACUCCAGUUUUUCAAUACCUAACUUCCCAGAGUUCCCAGUCCGCAGUGUUUAAUUUACACAACAGACUGUAAAUUUAUUUAUAAUGUCAAAAAGUAUUUUAAAUGAUAAGGAACAAACUAGGAUGGAAGAGAGGAAGAAGACAAGACGCACACAAGGAAGGGAAGAAAGUUGAGCAGGAAAGAAACGUGUCAAAAAGGACAUGAGGAAAGAAAUGUAAGAGAAGAAAGUACACAAGCAAAGAAAAAGACAGUAAAGUAUGCAAUUAAGACAGGAAACAAGGAAGGUAAGAAAUUAUACAAGGAAGAAAGGUGUCGAAGUAUAUGAGGAAAGAAAAGAGUAAGAAGACAAGGAAGUAUGCAAGGAAAGGAAAAAGGUAGGAUAGAUGAAAGUGCACAAGGAUAGAAGGAAGCAAGAAUGUAAGAAAUAAGAGACAAGACAGGAAGAUGAGAAAUUAUACAAGGAAGCAAAUUAUCAAA